GAAGUCAGGGACACCAUGCUGAAUAAACCCAAUCUCAUCUGAUCUCGGAAGCUAAGCAGGAUCAGACCUAGUUAGUACGUGGAUAGGAGACUGCCUGGGAAUACUAGGUGCUGUUUUUU
rnacentral:rRNA from 1 species